rnacentral:rRNA from 1 species
AUACGAAAGGUGCAAGCGUUAAUCGGAUUUACUGGGCGUAAAGCGCGCGUAGGCGGCUAAUUAAGUCAAAUGUGAAAUCCCCGAGCUUAACUUGGGAAUUGCAUUCGAUACUGGUUAGCUAGAGUGUGGGAGAGGAUGGUAGAAUUCCAGGUGUAGCGGUGAAAUGCGUAGAGAUCUGGAGGAAUACCGAUGGCGAAGGCAGCCAUCUGGCCUAACACUGACGCUGAGGUGCGAAAGCAUGGGGAGCAAACAGGAUUAGAUACCCGAGUAGUCC